GGUUUUACUUUCAAACUUUUUUUUAGUUUUGGUAAAACCUUUGUGUGUCUUUACACAGAAAAUAUGUCAAAAUCAUAACGAGGUGCUAAUUUCACAUAAUUUAAUGAAUUAUAAAUAGUUAGUUUGAUGUUUGUCUGUAGGUUUUGAUGGCUGUUAUAAUGUUUCUGCUUCACGUGUCUGCUGAGGUGACAGUAUUACCUCUAUUUGUAUCAUUUAUUUAUGCAACUAAAAAAAAAAAAAGUUUUUAUGCAGUGUCCCGCAUGCUUUGAUUUGAUAUUCUGUAUGUUUACAACUGGUCAUUAUUUUUGCAGUUCAGUUUUGUAAUGUUGGAAAUGUCAAGUGAGAUCUGUUCAGGUUGUGAUGCAGGAACAGGUGGAGUCAGAUACACUUACAUUAGAUCUGGUCAAACACGUCUGAAGCGUCACAGACACUGAGAGAAUCAUCAUAUAAUCACCACAGUUAAGAUGAAGCGACCAUGCAUUUUAAUCGGCAAGAAACCACAGGAGCACGAGCCCAUUGUACAGACUGUCAUCACAUCACACACAAACCGUUCAACUACUGAACUGGCUGACUUUGUAGAGAAGCAAAGGUCUCAUUCCUUAAAAAAAAUGACUUUGGAGGACAAAUGAAGAUAUUGUAAUGGAGAAAUGAUGUCUGUUUGCCCAUACAAUGGAAGACCAACGGGGACCAAACCUUCGAGCUCCAAAAGGAACAUAAAGAGGCAAACAGACAUUUCAUCUCCAUUAAAUAAUCAUUUAUUGAAUCAUCGCAGUUCAAAUCAGCAUAAGGCCAUCUUAAAUUGUUUUCUUUACUAAUAGAUGUCUGCCACUCCUUUGACUUGACUGAUACUUUAUUGGAAUAAAUCCAGAAAAGAGGAUAAAAGCUGCAUGGAGAAAAGAGGUGUCUAAAACAACUGGAAAAACUGCAGAAGAAGACCAAGAUGAAAAAGAAGUCCAAAAGUAUCUCAUCAUUUACUCAACCUUAUGCUGUCUCAAACUCCUAGGACUUUCUCUUGGAAGACAAAUGAAGAUAUUGUAAUUGAGAAAUGUUUGCCCACACAAUGGAAGACCAAUGGGGACCAAACCUUCAAGCUCCAAAAGGAACAUAAAGAUCAGCCAUGUCAAAGACAUCGAUGGAUAUCCAUAAAUCAGACAUGUGUGAUAAGAUGCAGAGCGAGGUUCUUCAGGUCGCUCUUCUGGCUGCGAAUAUGUAUGAAGAUAGCACGGACAUUGCUGUCUACAUCAGGACGGAAUUUGAGAGAAAGCAUGGAGGCACCUGGAGCUGCAUUGUGGGGAACUGUGGUGUCAGUGUGACAUAUAAACUGAACAGUUAUAUCAGCUUCUCUGUUGCUGGCAAAAGAAUUUUGCUCUUCAGAACUGACUGAGGUUCAGCAACAGUUUAUUUUAUCCACAUAAUUAAUAAAACAUCCACCUUCA